AAUUAACACUAUUGCGUGGUUCGUAUCGCGUGACAUUACCUAUUAUAAAUGUCCUUUUUUUCUCUCGUUUUCUCACGCAGGAACAUUUUAUAUUCAACUAUAUGGUAUACAAUUUUGCCGCUAUAUAUUGACCGCAGGGAGCUGAUACCGAAGAGAUCGUUAAGAAGGAAGGUGUAUCCAAAAUUGCACAUGUAUGGGACUUGUGAGUUAUGCGAAGCAAUUGAUACUAUUAAGGUUCAUUGGUCAUAUGAAGUUUGCACACGUGAAGCUUGACAUCCUAAAGAUCACAAUGCAUUCUGAAAACGAUACCGUGCAGGUUCGUUGGCGUAUACGUGGUGUCACAGGCUGGAAGGUAUUUUCUAUGUUUUGGAAGUAAAAUUUGGAAAAUACAACAUGUCAUAAAAUAAGCGCUAACCAGGAAAUAUGGUACGACGGCUUUUUUAUGUUAAUGCUGAAUGGAAAAGUUUAUAAGCAUAUUACGGACAAGAUGAUGCCUAAUCAGGAUACAGCCACGAAAAAGAAAGAUAUGCGCAUGGCAGGGAAAUUAGCGCUAUUCACAGGCUUUGUAAGCAUAUUUAGUAACAACGAGGAUUCUUUGAAUUGAGCUCUGUCUUAAAAUCGUAUCAAUUGAAGUGAAUCCACUGCUGAGUGCUGAAAUUAUACGAUUUUAUCCGUCACAACGAAUAGACCAAGAAGAAUGCUUUUUUCAGUCGAUGGUUUCGAAUGUUGCUGACGUAUCUAUUUCGUUGCAAAUGCAUCAUUAUGAAAUGAUGAUUGGUAGUAAAUGAGAGAUAUGUGAAUUAAAAAGAUGUGUACAUUAACUAAACAGUAUCUUUGUAUGAUUACAAACUAUCUUCAUCUAAUUUUUUAGUGAAAAUGUCCGAAUAAUUUGCGUUAGUAUUUCUGUGUAAAAAAAUAUGACGAUUAUA